AUGCAGCUCUGGUAACUUCAAACUCAGUUUGGUUAUUUACUUCACAAAAAGUUUUCUUAAAAGUUUUCAUAAAAAUGAAAAACCUUUUUCUUGUUUUUGGGGAGUUGGUUUAUUUUGUGACAGAAGGGACAUUUCAAUAUUUUUCUUUUUAGAAGAUACAGUAGUUCUCUUUAUUUGCAUCAAAAUUUUAUGGUGGCGUAAAGUAAGGGCACAUGUACACUUGAUUAUUAGCCAAUUGUUAUUUUCGUUAAAUUCCCUCCUCAAAAUUAAUAUAAACAUCUGUCCCUAUACUGAGCCCCAAGAGGAAAUGACAUUAAAAAUGCAAUAAAUGUACUGUGUAAACUUCAGCCAUACAUCCACACUCACAUGUACAUGUCGAAUGUAAACACAAAUAUUUUUCAGUAUAUCAACUUAAUAGGUACAUUGUUUGCAGAACUUAUAUUAACAUUAAUGUACUCAUUCGCUAACCCCAACAGACUUUUUUUAACCCAUUCAGUUGUAACAGUAUGAACACAAACUACACAAGUUGUUGUACUCAAUGAGAACAGUCUAGUAAGUGCUCCCAAAUUCAUUGUACGUUUAAUAAGUGCACACAAAUUUUACAUUUACAGAUCCUCCUGUUAAUUGUUUUUUUUUUGGCAUAAUAUCUAACUGUGCUGGAGA